UCCUUGAUGGUCCAGUGACUAAGACUCUGGGUUCACAAUGCAGGGGCUCCAGGUUCAAUCCCUGGCCAGGGAA
rfam:Ovis aries breed Texel chromosome 14, whole genome shotgun sequence.